GUGCUCACUUUGGCAGCACAUAUACUAACAUUGGAAUGAUACAGAGAAGAUUAGCAUGGCCCCUGUGUAAGGAUGACAUGCAAAUUCGUGAAGUAUUCCAUAUUUUU
ensembl:snRNA U6 U6 spliceosomal RNA